AGUGAACGCUGGCGGUAGGCCUAACACAUGCAAGUCGAACGGCAGCACAGUAAGAGCUUGCUCUUACGGGUGGCGAGUGGCGGACGGGUGAGGAAUACAUCGGAAUCUACUUUUUCGUGGGGGAUAACGUAGGGAAACUUACGCUAAUACCGCAUACGACCUACGGGUGAAAGCAGGGGAUCUUCGGACCUUGCGCGAUUGAAUGAGCCGAUGUCGGAUUAGCUAGUUGGCGGGGUAAAGGCCCACCAAGGCGACGAUCCGUAGCUGGUCUGAGAGGAUGAUCAGCCCCACUGGAACUGAGACACGGUCCAGACUCCUACGGGAGGCAGCAGUGGGGAAUAUUGGCCAAUGGGCGAAAGCCUGAUCCAGCCAUACCGCGUGGGUGAAGAAGGCCUUCGGGUUGUAAAGCCCUUUUGUUGGGAAAGAAAAGCAGCAGGUUAAUACCCCGCUGUUCUGACGGUACCAAAAGAAUAAGCACCGGCUAACUUCGU
rnacentral:rRNA from 1 species